rnacentral:rRNA from 1 species
UAGAGUUUGAUCAUGGCUCAGAUUGAACGCUGGCGGCAGGCCUAACACAUGCAAGUCGAGCGGAUGAAAGGAGCUUGCUCCUGGAUUCAGCGGCGGACGGGUGAGUAAUGCCUAGGAAUCUGCCUGGUAGUGGGGGACAACGUUUCGAAAGGAACGCUAAUACCGCAUACGUCCUACGGGAGAAAGCAGGGGACCUUCGGGCCUUGCGCUAUCAGAUGAGCCUAGGUCGGAUUAGCUAGUUGGUGAGGUAAUGGCUCACCAAGGCGACGAUCCGUAACUGGUCUGAGAGGAUGAUCAGUCACACUGGAACUGAGACACGGUCCAGACUCCUACGGGAGGCAGCAGUGGGGAAUAUUGGACAAUGGGCGAAAGCCUGAUCCAGCCAUGCCGCGUGUGUGAAGAAGGUCUUCGGAUUGUAAAGCACUUUAAGUUGGGAGGAAGGGUUGUAGAUUAAUACUCUGCAAUUUUGACGUUACCGACAGAAUAAGCACCGGCUAACUCUGUGCCAGCAGCCGCGGUAAUACAGAGGGUGCAAGCGUUAAUCGGAAUUACUGGGCGUAAAGCGCGCGUAGGUGGUUCGUUAAGUUGGAUGUGAAAUCCCCGGGCUCAACCUGGGAACUGCAUUCAAAACUGUCGAGCUAGAGUAUGGUAGAGGGUGGUGGAAUUUCCUGUGUAGCGGUGAAAUGCGUAGAUAUAGGAAGGAACACCAGUGGCGAAGGCGACCACCUGGACUGAUACUGACACUGAGGUGCGAAAGCGUGGGGAGCAAACAGGAUUAGA